rnacentral:tRNA from 1 species
GGGUUGUGGCUCAGUGGUAGAUCAAUUGCCUAGCAAGUGUGGGGCCCUGGGUUCUAUCCUCAGCACCCA